AUUGAACGCUGGCGGCAGGCCUAACACAUGCAAGUCGAACGAGUGGCGGACGGGUGAGUAAUGUCUGGGAAACUGCCUGAUGGAGGGGGAUAACUACUGGAAACGGUAGCUAAUACCGCAUACCAUCGGAUGUGCCCAGAGUGGAUUAGCCAGUGGGUGGGGUAACGGCUCACCUAGGCGACGAUCCCUAGCUGGUCUGAGAGGAUGACCGGCCACACUGGACCUGAGACACGGUCCAGCCUCCUACGUGAGGCAGCAGUGGUGAAUAUUGCACAAGGGGCGCAAGCCGGAUGCAGCCAUGCCGCGUGUAUGAAGAAGGCCUUCGGGUUGUAAAGUACUUUCAGCGGGGAGGCGUUACCCGCAGAAGAAGCACCGGCUAACUCCGUGCCAGCAGCCGCGGUAAUAC
rnacentral:rRNA from 1 species